UACGAAGGGGGCUAGCGUUGCUCGGAAUCACUGGGCGUACAGGGCGCGUAGGCGGCGUGUUAAGUCGGGGGUGAAAGCCUGUGGCCCAACCACGGAAUGGCCGACGAUACUGGGACGCUUGAGUCUGGUAGAGGUUGGUGGAACUGCGAGUGUAGAGGUGAAAUUCGUAGAUAUUCGCAAGAACACCGGUGGCGAAGGCGGCCAACUGGACCAGUACUGACGCUGAGGCGCGAAAGCGUGGGGAGCAAACAGG
rnacentral:rRNA from 1 species